UCAAAACGAAUAGUUUAUAAUUCGUAUUCCAUUCUAUUUCAAAUACUAACACUUCGAAAAAACAAAUAUUCAGAUGUUUACGAAUAUGGCUGUGUGGGAUCUCGAAAGUCUGGAAAAAUUUUGGGAUCACAGAAGAAUUUUAUCGUCUGGCUGGGACACAGGUUUUAAGUAAUGUUUUAGGGUUAUUUAUGUGGAGUUUUUUUCUACAUCUGGCCAUGUAAAUUUUGAGAAGGCUAAUAUAGUAAAGCUGGAUGUAACACAGUAAUUCGGAACCAAUAUUACACCUACUUUAUCAGCUGAAGUAAUUUACAGAGAAGAGAGUCCGGCAGGUCGUUAAAAAUAGAUAAGAACUGAUAACAUACUGAUAAGGAUAAAUAUGUGUCCAUAAAAAUCAAAACAAUGUGGGUGUGUUAAAGUUGACAGUUUUCUGAUCAGAGGGUUGAAACACAGCAUGCCAGCUCUGUGAUUAGUUUAGUUCAGAAUGUGGGGGAGUGGGCAAGAAGAGGCGAGCGUUAAGUUUAGCUUAUUAAAAUAGGAAGUAGGCAGAGUUGCCAGUUCAUUCAAGGGAAUUGCAGCACUGGUCACCUGAAGAGUAUGUUGAUGAACAUGGUGCUGAACAGCAUGCCGAUGAAGCUGAAGAUGAUCAUGAACACAGUCACUCGUUCUUGGAUGUCAGCUGCUAUCUCUGCUGCGAUCUGCUUGUACGUCUUACUCUGCGUCGUCUCCAUUUCGAAGUCUCGGCUGAUGUUUAUCUUAACGUAAAACAUGGUCUUCACCUGGUUAGCAAACUCUUUGAGUUCUGGAAAAUAAAAUAUAACAUUUAUUUAAUAAUUUAUGUACAAGAGUGUUAUACCUUACUUAAAAUAAACAAGAAGACUAAUGUUACAACCUACAAUGACGUGGACUUUUAAUGAGAAGCAUUGUUUUUUUAAAUUUUUUAUUUAUAGACAAAUUUAUGGAUUACUUCAAUGCACAUUAGUAAUUAACAUAAAAUAUCCAAACUUAAGAAUUAACAUCAUUCACACAUAUUAAUAUAUUUAAUAUAUUUUUGGUUUGGUGGGGGUUAAAAAUAAUUUAUUUUUGAGCUCUCGUAAAAACAACUAUGUCAACCUAAUUCCUUGCAUCAUUAUCUAUAUUAUUAAUUUACUCUCUUUUUUCUUAUAACUGUCGUUUGAUUAAAACAAGAAAAUUUACAAACUCACCACAUUAUUUAUAAUUUACAGUUUUACUGAUAGAUCAUGAAGUCUAAAUAAAGUCUUGCGGAGUAAUUGGGGGUGCAGAAGGUUUUAAAGGGCAGAAUCAAGGUUAUAAAAAACUGCAUUCCAAUUAAAUAAUGUAUUUCUACAAUAUGUCUUUAGAUCCAAAUGAACAUGACACUUGUGAAAUUAAAUUUUUUUUGCUUAUCAUUUUAUCAGGGGGUUAUUUCAUAAAUGUUACAAUUUUAAAUUUUACUGGUGAAAGGUGACAGAAAAUUGUGCGACAAGUUUUCGUACUGAUGUUUCAUAAAAACUUAUUACAUGUUUAGCAAAAUUGUCAUGAUAAUCAUGUACAUCUGUGGACAAUUUUGUACAUGUUUAUUUCCUUUAACUUUUGUGUUGACAGGAAAAAAACGAGACAGAUUUGUCAAAUCUUAAUGUACUUUUUGUUUUAUAAAACAGAUGUAUCUCAAGUUUAUAAACUUGUCAACAGAAAUGACAGGUAUCCUUUUAUUGUUUAUUUUUGUGUGUGUACUUAAAUUUGACGAUUUUUUUUUUCUGAGUUAGAGGGGGUGCAUUUAAUUUUCCUUGAUAAUAAAUGUAGUGAGAGUAAUGCAAAGAAUAGGAAUAAGAUUACAAAAUUUCAGGCAACGUAUCAAAAACCAACAUCAUAGCUUGUCUUGAAUAAAGCAUGUGUACUUGAUAGCUAUCCUUAUCAUAACAAUAUUAGCUUUAGAUUUUAAAAUGUAAUUGUAACAUUUUUUGAACUUUAAAAAUUAAUUUUUUUCCAGCCUAUUAUGUAUGGAAAACUUGUACUUGUUAUGAAACAUAGAUGUGUUGUGUCAUAUUGACAAAUUGUUCUUAAUUGUGAUUUAUUUAAUUUUUAUAUGUAUCACUUGCAACAUUUUAUUAAAUAGGUCCUGUGGAGUCAUUAUAAAACCAA